rnacentral:rRNA from 1 species
UACGGAGGGAGCAAGCGUUACUCGGAAUUAUUGGGCGUAAAGGGCGCGUAGGCGUUCUGGCAAGUCCUGUGUGAAAUCCCCGGGCCUAACUCGGGAAGCGCACAGGAAACUGCCUGAAUUGAGUGCAGGAGAGGAAAGCAGAAUUCCCGGUGUAGCGGUGAAAUGCGUAGAUAUCGGGAGGAAUACCAGCGGCGAAGGCGGCUUUCUGGACUGCUACUGACGCUGAGGCGCGAAAGCCAGGGGAGCAAAC